UACGAAGGGGGCUAGCGUUGUUCGGAAUUACUGGGCGUAAAGCGCGCGCAGGCGGCUAUCCAAGUCAGUGGUGAAAGCCCGGAGCUCAACUCCGGAACUGCCAUUGAAACUGUUUAGCUGGAGUAUGAGAGAGGUGAGUGGAAUUCCCAGUGUAGAGGUGAAAUUCGUAGAUAUUGGGAAGAACACCGGUGGCGAAGGCGGCUACACUCGGCU
rnacentral:rRNA from 1 species